CGAGCGAGCGAGCCGAGCCGAGCCUCCCGCCGUCGCCAUGGGCCAGAACGACCUGAUGGGCACGGCCGAGGACUUCGCCGACCAGCGUCUGUUCCUCACACACACCCCACCCAAGGACAUGCCUGGCAGCGGCCUGGUGCUCCCCGCCGCAGCCACCUCACCCUUGGGUUUCUGUGGCCCUGCAGUUCCUCCGUGUCACAAAGCAGUACCUGCCCCACGUGGCGCGCCUCUGUCUGAUCAGCACCUUCCUGGAGGACGGCAUUCGUAUGUGGUUCCAGUGGAGUGAGCAGCGCGACUACAUCGACACCACCUGGAACUGCGGCUACCUGCUGGCCUCGUCCUUCGUCUUCCUCAACUUGCUGGGACAGCUGACUGGCUGCGUCCUGGUGUUGAGCAGGAACUUCGUGCAGUAUGCCUGCUUCGGGCUCUUUGGAAUCAUAGCUCUGCAGACGAUUGCCUACAGCAUUUUAUGGGACUUGAAGUUUUUGAUGAGGAACCUGGCCCUGGGAGGAGGCCUGUUGCUGCUCCUAGCAGAAUCCCGUUCUGAAGGG
rnacentral:sRNA from 1 species